CUCGUUCCAUAACAACUUUGCCCUUUGAGCGUACAUAUCUCUGGUUGAGUGAGAAAAAGCUUGCUGAGCAUAGAGCAAAAGUAGAAGAGUAAAAUUGUUUACAUACUCUAUUGUAGGUACUUUUUCUCUUUGCUCACUGCUGGCAGCUCGCUGCUAAGAACACAGCAACACAGAUUUAGCAAAUAACUACUUGCACUAAAAUUUAGUGACUAAAUACUAUACACAUACAUAUAUACACACAUCUUCGCCAACUGCCACAAUUAUUAUGAGUAUUUUCUAUAUUGAGUGAGCUCAGUUGUGAGCAUGAGUGAGUUCGUUUCUGAAGCAAAUAAAAUAUAUAAAUAUGUGGAUAUAUUUAGAAGUAUGCUUGAAGUGAAGUGUGCGCGAAUAGGAACCUCCACUAUAAAAAUACAAUAUUUAUGAGUAGCUGUGGAAAUUUUGUACACUUUUGGGUUUAGUCGAUAUAAAGCACCGUAACAGUGUACAACGAAAAUAGGGAAAAGUGAAUAGCCACUGGGUUGUUCAGCCAUGAACAAUUCAGUUGGAGGAAAUUUACGUAAAAUUUUAAUAGAACAGCUAAAAGCAAAUUGCGUAAAUUCUAUUUUAGAGUUCUACAGCGAACGAAAACGAAUUAAACAGUCGAAAAUAUGUCAUAAACACGACAUAAAUUAAGUCGAUCGAAAUUUUCGAAAUAGCUGUGAUAUUUUUUAUUUUUGAAUUUCCAACUUAUACGGUUGGUUGAGAUUUUCCUAAAAUUUUCAAUGAUUUAUGAUUUAUGUCGCUAAGCACAAGUUGUGUUCGUGGCUAGUGCUGUAGGCGGAAGAGCUGAGCUGCAUAUGGAAAAAAUUCAAAGCUGCACAGUAACGGAGCUGGCAAUGUGGACAGUUAAGCAACGGCCAAGUUACAAUGACGGUCGCCCGCAAUAACUGACACACCCGGCUCCACUUCACUCCGCGGGCAGCAACACGAGCAUAACAGUGAUAUUUUAAUCAAGUGUUUGCUUGCAACCUUUGACCACUCAAAUACACAAAUAGCAUGCAACUGCUUUAAUUGCUGUUCAGGCGAUUUUCAAAUGCUAGUUUGUAAGCAACUGGCUGACUGUGAUAUUUUACGCGUGUUUAUCGUGAAUCUAAAAGCAAGGAAAAAACUAAAAAUUGCUGCAUGUAAUAUAUACUAUGGCAUAUUACUCGGCUAAUUUUUGCUUGGCUCUGCACAUUUGGAUUCUUGAUAAAUUGUGAUAAGUAGCUGUGAUAUAUUUUGUGUUCAUUUUUUGUAUAAAACUGAAAAAAAAAACACAAAAAAAUCGAAAAACAAAAUAAAAGUAGAAAAAAACUUAAAAACUUAAAACUGAAAAA